rnacentral:rRNA from 1 species
CCAGCAGCCGCGGUAAUUCCAGCUCCAAUAGCGUAUAUUAAAGUUGUUGCAGUUAAAAAGCUCGUAGUUGAAUUUCAGUCCAGGAUCUGUGGUCCGCCUAACGGUGUGUACUGCUGAUUCUGGACCUCCUUCUGGGGCCCUGAUCUGCUCUUUACGGGGUGGGUCAGUCAUCCAGGACUUUUACUGUGAAAAAAUUAGAGUGUUCAAAGCAGGCUUACGCUUGAAUACAUUAGCAUGGAAUAAUAGAAUAGGACUUUGGUUUUAUUUUGUUGGUUUCUAGGACCGAGGUAAUGAUUAAUAGGGACAGUUGGGGGCAUUAGUAUUUCAUUGUCAGAGGUGAAAUUCUUGGAUUUAUGAAAGACUAACUACUGCGAAAGCAUUUGCCAAGGAUGUUUUCA